rnacentral:lncRNA from 1 species
UUUGCAAAUAGAUUUAAGCGCUACAUCCCUACAUAAAGACCAGUCAAUUUUUUAAAACUCAACCAACAAGAAGAUGUAACCAUUGCCUCUUUCAACCAAAACUCAUUUCCCCAAAGUUGUGACAUAUUUUUUCAAAGUAGUUUUCUACAUACUUCCCCUUCCCUCCACCUUAUACUGCAUCUCAGCUCCUAACUCUCCUUUUUUAUUACCUAGCUAUUAACUCAUGUUUAAAAUAGUGCUAACUUCUGUUUUUGUAUACAAACACCAUAAGUGAGCAUUUCUAACCCCUUCCAAUUGAUCAUACUCCUUUC